AUUGAACGCUGGCGGCAGGCCUAACACAUGCAAGUCGAACGAGCGGCGGACGGGUGAGUAAUGUCUGGGAAACUGCCUGAUGGAGGGGGAUAACUACUGGAAACGGUAGCUAAUACCGCAUACCAUCAGAUGUGCCCAGAUGGGCUUAGCUAGUUGGUGGGGUAAGGGCUCACCAAGGCGACGAUCCCUAGCUGGUCUGAGAGGAUGACCAGCCACACUGGAACUGAGACACGGUCCAGAAGCCUACGGGAGGCAGCAGUGGGGAAUAUUGCACAAGGGGCGCAAGCCUGAUGCAGCCAUGCCGCGUGUGUGAAGAAGGCCUUCGGGUUGUAAAGUACUUUCAGCGAGGAGGCGUUACUCGCAGAAGAAGCACCGGCUAACUCCGUGCCAACAGCCGCGGUAAUAC
rnacentral:rRNA from 1 species